UACGGAGGGUGCAAGCGUUGUUCGGAAUCACUGGGCGUAAAGCGCGUGUAGGCGGCGUGACAAGUCGGGUGUGAAAGCCCUCAGCUCAACUGAGGAAGUGCGCCCGAAACUGUCGUGCUUGAGUGCCGGAGAGGGUGGCGGAAUUCCCCAAGUAGAGGUGAAAUUCGUAGAUAUGGGGAGGAACACCGGUGGCGAAGGCGGCCACCUGGACGGCUACUGACGCUGAGACGCGAAAGCGUGGGGAGCAAACAGG
rnacentral:rRNA from 1 species